CCUACGGGAGGCAGCAGUGGGGAAGUUUUAGGUACAAUGGGCGGCAAGCCUGAUCCAGCAAUGCCGCGUGCAGGAUGAAGGCCUUCGGGUUGUAAACUGCUUUUGUACGGAACGAAACGGCUCUUUCUAAUAAAGAGAGCUAAUGACGGUACCGUAAGAAUAAGCACCGGCUAACUACGUGCCAGCAGCCGCGGUAAUACGUAGGGUGCGAGCGUUAAUCGGAAUUACUGGGCGUAAAGCGUGCGCAGGCGGUUAUAUAAGACAGAUGUGAAAUCCCCGGGCUCAACCUGGGACCUGCAUUUGUGACUGUAUAGCUAGAGUACGGUAGAGGGGGAUGGAAUUCCGCGUGUAGCAGUGAAAUGCGUAGAUAUGCGGAGGAACACCGAUGGCGAAGGCAAUCCCCUGGACCUGUACUGACGCUCAUGCACGAAAGCGUGGGGAGCAAACAGGAUUAGAUACCCUGGUAGUCCACGCCCUAAACGAUGUCAACUGGUUNUUGGGUCCUUCACUNAUCANACGAAGACACGACGNGAGUAGACGCCGCGGNGGUACGGCCGCGAGUAGUAACGACGAAGAGAGUAGUAGNGNGAGAGCGACGACGACGACGACGGAGGGAGG
rnacentral:rRNA from 1 species